rnacentral:rRNA from 1 species
AACGAACGCUGGCGGCAGGCUUAACACAUGCAAGUCGAACGCCCCGCAAGGGGAGUGGCAGACGGGUGAGUAACGCGUGGGAACAUACCCUUUCCUGCGGAAUAGCUCCGGGAAACUGGAAUUAAUACCGCAUACGCCCUACGGGGGAAAGAUUUAUCGGGGAAGGAUUGGCGCGCGUUGGAUUAGCUAGUUGGUGGGGUAAAGGCCUACCAAGGCGACGAUCCAUAGCUGGUCUGAGAGGAUGAUCAGCCACAUUGGGACUGAGACACGGCCCACACUCCUACGGGAGGCAGCAGUGGGGAAUAUUGGACGAUGGGCGCAAGCCUGAUCCAGCCAUGCCGCGUGAGUGAUGAAGGCCUUAGGGUUGUAAAGCUCUUUCACCGAUGAAGAUAAUGACGGUAGUCGGAGAAGAAGCCCCGGCUAACUUCGUG